AUUGGAAACUGACACUUCCACAUAAGCUUCCCCCCUUAAAGGAACCUAUAGUGUUGACAGCUCUUCCUCUGACUGGAUAUCUUGAGCAGGGUGUGGCUACAGCUUUAAUAAAAGCAAUGAAUGCAGUUGGUUGCUUAAAGCCAAAAUUUCCAUUCCUGAGUGUGAAAAGGACCGCUUUGCUAUUCAUAGCCUAUCAUUUAAAAGCAUAUAACCCUAACAGCCCAGACUAUAUACGAAAGAAGUAUAAAAUGAAGUUGGAACGGUUCAUAGACCAUUGUGAACUUAUCCCAUACCUAGGCAUCAAAAUGACAAAGAAGUACAAGGAGCCUCAAAAUCGACCUAUUGAUUUUGAUCACAAGUUACAGACUUUCUUGUCUCUCAAAGAUGUGGACCCAACUUCCUAUUAGUGUGAAAUAUUGCAAAAAUACUGGAAAGUGAUAUUUUCAUAUUUGACUGUUAAAUUAAACAUAUAUGGUUGUUUAUGUGGUUGGGGUUUUUAGAACCUGCCUAACUACAGAACAGAUCAGGCUAAGCUCAUGUCACUGGCUUGUUGGAAGUCUAAAUAAGGCCGUACCGUAGUUUCCUAUAGUUUGCAAAAGGCACUUUGUAAAACUGAUAGUGUACAAACAUAUUUGUAAAUUGCCCUAUACUUCUAAUUUUGCAAGGAACUUAGUAAAGAUUGUUUUUAGUAAGUCUACUUCUCAGAAAAUGUGUUUAUAAUUGUGGGUAUAUUAAUAGUCUUCAGUGGUUAAGGAUAGAACUUCAACUGCUGUAAGCUAUUUGUUAAAUCAUUAUUGUUUGACAUUACUGUACUUAAAUAUUUAGUGUGUUGAUUUAAAUAUAAAGAUCUGGGAUAAUUUGAGAUACUAUGAGAUAUUUCAUAAAUUUGAGAUAAUAUCUUGGCUUUCAGUUGUUACUGUAGUGGUUUAAAUUUGUUACUUUUGUUAACUAGUGAAAUAUUAACUUCUAUAUGUAGUUAUCUGAAAGAAUCCACAUUCAGGUCAUUGCUAUUGUUUCUUCCACACCCAGUCCUAAAUAAAUAUGAGUAAUUGCUUCUUUUUACACUUUUGAAUAAUUUGAGAGUAAUCUCAUUCUACUGUGUAAGUCCUUUCAGCAACUCUGUAAUACUAAGCGCAAUUGAGCAAUACAGUCAGUUGUAUAUUUUUGCCCUAUUUACCCUUCCUAGAAUGGAAAACUGAAAAAAUUCUAAAUGAAUAUUUAUUAUAAACAAUGCCUUUAAAAACAGUGGUUUUUCAAAUGGCUUUCUUAAUACUGUGUUUUCCUCACUUCAGUGGCUAAUCAGAUUAGCAGUUGGUAUAGACUUGUCUUCAAUGAGAUUGGUGAAUAAGGUCUGUACCAUUUUGGCAAGCAGAGGCUCAUAUAGUUGAAUGGUCUUCAAUUCAAAAAUAAAUCUUCCAUAGGAAAAACCAGACGGCAUGAAGAAAACAUUAUCAGAUAUUUCCAUUUGAAUCCUGAAUAUUAGCAAUUAUUUGACUUCCCCUCCAAUCUGAAAUAGUAAGGUCAACACAGACAUAGAGCUCUAUUAAUCAGUACUAAUCAGAUUUAGGGGUCAGUCAACUGAAUAAACCAUUAUGACUGUGUUGUAGUUCGUUUAAUCAUAGUCUACUCAAUAAAAUCAGUAUCAAUAAAGGAGAAUAUUUGUAGCUCACAGUUGAAAUGAAGGUUCCUCAGAGCUUGGUUGUUUUCUUGCAGAUGUUUCAUUACCCAAACUAGGCAACAUCCUCAGUGCUAGUGGCACUGAUAAAGUUACCUAGCUUGGAUAAUGAAACGUCUGUAAAAAAACAACCAAGCUCAGAGAGCACCAAGGACCCUUCAAUUAGAUCAGUUUAUGUGUUUGUCCAAUA